rfam:Paraphaeosphaeria sporulosa strain AP3s5-JAC2a unplaced genomic scaffold CC84scaffold_7, whole genome shotgun sequence.
UCCGAUAUGGUCUAGUGGCUAGGAUACAUCGCUCUCAUCUUCCCAAGCAAUUGGAACAUGCGCCGAUGUGGCCCGGGUUCGAUUCCCGGUGUCGGAA